rnacentral:rRNA from 1 species
AACGAACGCUGGCGGCAGGCCUAACACAUGCAAGUCGAGCGAGGACUUCGGUCCUAGCGGCGGACGGGUGAGUAACGCGUGGGAACGUGCCCUUUGCUUCGGAAUAGCCCUGGGAAACUGGGAGGAAUACCGGAUGAGCCCUUUGGGGGAAAGAUUUAUCGGCGAAGGAUCGGCCCGCGUUGGAUUAGGUAGUUGGUGGGGUAAUGGCCUACCAAGCCGACGAUCCAUAGCUGGUUUGAGAGGAUGAUCAGCCACACUGGGACUGAGACACGGCCCAGACUCCUACGGGAGGCAGCAGUGGGGAAUCUUAGACAAUGGGGGAAACCCUGAUCUAGCCAUGCCGCGUGAGCGAUGAAGGCCUUAGGGUUGUAAAGCUCUUUCAGCUGGGAAGAUAAUGACGGUACCAGCAGAAGAAGCCCCGGCUAACUCCGUG